GCUGAAAUAGCUCAGUUGGGAGAGUGUUAGACUGAAGAGCUUAAGGUCCCUGGUUUGAUACCGGGUUUUGGCA